AGGUGUGUAUCCCUCGUUUAUCGGUUUUCUUUCAUCCAUCCUAACCUUGAAUGCGUGGUGGAAGAGGGUGGCCAUCCUCUUGGGAGGGGCAGGGGAUGUUGUUCUGUCAAAGGCAUCCGAAGAGCUGUGUCCCCCUGUUGGAACCUCCGAAUCAACUCUGUUUAUAGAAGAACACAGGCAGUCUUACUUAUUUAAUGUAUUUUAAAAUUAAAAAGCAGUAUUAUAUUCUUGACAGUUU
rnacentral:snRNA from 14 species